rnacentral:rRNA from 1 species
AUGAACGCUGGCGGCAGGCCUAACACAUGCAAGUCGAACGGAGUUAUAUUGUAGCUUGCUAUGGUAUAACUUAGUGGCAGACGGGUGAGUAAUGUAUAGGAAUCUACCUAGUAGUACGGAAUAAUUGUUGGAAACGGCAACUAAUACCGUAUACGCCCUACGGGGGAAAAAUUUAUUGCUAUUAGAUGAGCCUAUAUUAGAUUAGCUAGUUGGUGGAGUAAUAGCCUACCAAGGCAAUGAUCUAUAGCUGAUCUGAGAGGAUGAUCAGCCACACUGGAACUGAGAUACGGUCCAGACUCCUACGGGAGGCAGCAGUGGGGAAUAUUGGACAAUGGGCGAAAGCCUGAUCCAGCCAUGCCGCAUGAGUGAAGAAGGCCUUUGGGUUGUAAAGCUCUUUUAGUGAGGAAGAUAAUGACGGUACUCACAGAAGAAGUCCUGGCUAACCCCGUGCCAGCAGCCGCGGUAAUACGGAGAGGGCUAGCGUUAUUCGGAAUUAUUGGGCGUAAAGGGCGCGUAGGCGGAUUAGUAAGUUAAAAGUGAAUCCUAAGGCUCAACCUUGGAAUUGCUUUUAAAACUGCUAAUCUAGAGAUUGAGAGAGGAUAGAGGAAUUCCUAGUGUAGAGGUGAAAUUCGUAAAUAUUAGGAGGAACACCAGUGGCGAANGCGUCUAUCUGGUUCAAAUCUGAC